ACGAACGCUGGCGGCGUGCUUAACACAUGCAAGUCGAACGGAAAGGCCCUGCUUUUGUGGGGUGCUCGAGUGGCGAACGGGUGAGUAACACGUGAGUAACCUGCCCUUGACUUUGGGAUAACUUCAGGAAACUGGGGCUAAUACCGGAUAGGAGCUCCUGCUGCAUGGUGGGGGUUGGAAAGUUUCGGCGGUUGGGGAUGGACUCGCGGCUUAUCAGCUUGUUGGUGGGGUAGUGGCUUACCAAGGCUUUGACGGGUAGCCGGCCUGAUAGGGUGACCGGCCACAUUGGGACUGAGAUACGGCCCAGACUCCUACGGGAGGCAGCAGUGGGGAAUAUUGCACAAUGGGCGGAAGCCUGAUGCAGCAACGCCGCGUGCGGGAUGACGGCCUUCGGGUUGUAAACCGCUUUCGCCUGUGACGAAGCGUGAGUGACGGUAAUGGGUAAAGAAGCACCGGCUAACUACGUG
rnacentral:rRNA from 1 species